UACGAAGGGGGCUAGCGUUGCUCGGAAUCACUGGGCGUAAAGCGCACGUAGGCGGAUCGCUAAGUCAGGGGUGAAAUCCUGGAGCUCAACUCCAGAACUGCCUUUGAUACUGGCAAUCUCGAGUCCGGGAGAGGUGAGUGGAACUGCGAGUGUAGAGGUGAAAUUCGUAGAUAUUCGCAAGAACACCAGUGGCGAAGGCGGCUCACUGGCCCGGUACUGACGCUGAGGUGCGAAAGCUAGGGUAGCAAACGGG
rnacentral:rRNA from 1 species